rnacentral:rRNA from 1 species
UACGAAGGGUGCAAGCGUUACUCGGAAUUACUGGGCGUAAAGGGUGCGUGGGUGGUUUGUUAAGUCUGCUGUGAAAUCCCCGGGCUCAACCUGGGAAUGGCAGUGGAUACUGGCAAGCUAGAGUGCGGUAGAGGGUAGUGGAAUUCCCGGUGUAGCAGUGAAAUGCGUAGAGAUCGGGAGGAACACCAGUGGCGAAGGCGGCUACCUGGACCAGCACUGACACUGAAGCACGAAAGCGUGGGGAGCAAACAGG